rnacentral:rRNA from 1 species
UACGUAGGGGGCGAGCGUUGUCCGGAAUCAUUGGGCGUAAAGCGCGUGUAGGCGGCCCGAUAAGUCCGCUGUGAAAGUCCAGGGCUCAACCCUGGGAUGCCGGUGGAUACUGUCAGGCUCGAGUCCGGAAGAGGAGUGUGGAAUUCCUGGUGUAGCGGUGAAAUGCGCAGAUAUCAGGAGGAACACCGACGGCGAAGGCAGCACUCUGGGACGUGACUGACGCUGAGACGCGAAAGCGUGGGGAGCAAACAGG